GAUGAACGCUGACGGCGUGCCUAAUACAUGCAAGUCGAGCGAACGGACGAGAAGCUUGCUUCUCUGAUGUUAGCGGCGGACGGGUGAGUAACACGUGGAUAACCUACCUAUAAGACUGGGAUAACUUCGGGAAACCGGAGCUAAUACCGGAUAAUAUUUUGAACCGCAUGGUUCAAAAGUGAAAGACGGUCUUGCUGUCACUUAUAGAUGGAUCCGCGCUGCAUUAGCUAGUUGGUAAGGUAACGGCUUACCAAGGCAACGAUGCAUAGCCGACCUGAGAGGGUGAUCGGCCACACUGGAACUGAGACACGGUCCAGACUCCUACGGGAGGCAGCAGUAGGGAAUCUUCCGCAAUGGGCGAAAGCCUGACGGAGCAACGCCGCGUGAGUGAUGAAGGUCUUCGGAUCGUAAAACUCUGUUAUUAGGGAAGAACAUAUGUGUAAGUAACUGUGCACAUCUUGACGGUACCUAAUCAGAAAACCACGGCUAACUACGUG
rnacentral:rRNA from 1 species